CUAACACAUGCAAGUCGAACGGGCUCUUCGGAGCAGUGGCGGACGGGUGAGUAACGCGUGGGAACGUGCCCUUUGGUUCGGAACAACACAGGGAAACUUGUGCUAAUACCGGAUGUGCCCUUCGGGGGAAAGAUUUAUCGCCAUUGGAGCGGCCCGCGUUGGAUUAGGUAGUUGGUGGGGUAAUGGCCCACCAAGCCGACGAUCCAUAGCUGGUCUGAGAGGAUGAUCAGCCACACUGGGACUGAGACACGGCCCAGACUCCUACGGGAGGCAGCAGUGGGGAAUCUUGCGCAAUGGGCGAAAGCCUGACGCAGCCAUGCCGCGUGAAUGAUGAAGGUCUUAGGAUUGUAAAAUUCUUUCACCGGGGAAGAUAAUGACGGUACCCGGAGAAGAAGCCCCGGCUAACUUCGUGCCAGCAGCCGCGGUAAUACGAAGGGGGCUAGCGUUGCUCGGAAUUACUGGGCGUAAAGGGCGCGUAGGCGGACAGUUAAGUCAGAGGUGAAAGCCCAGGGCUCAACCUUGGAAUUGCCUUUGAUACUGGCUGUCUUGAGUUCGGGAGAGGUGAGUGGAAUGCCGAGUGUAGAGGUGAAAUUCGUAGAUAUUCGGCGGAACACCAGUGGCGAAGGCGACUCACUGGCCCGAUACUGACGCUGAGGCGCGAAA
rnacentral:rRNA from 1 species